rnacentral:rRNA from 1 species
UACGUAGGGUGCAAGCGUUGUCCGGAAUUAUUGGGCGUAAAGAGCUCGUAGGCGGCUAGUCGCGUCGACUGUGAAAACCCGGGGCUCAACUCCGGGCCUGCAGUCGAUACGGGCUGGCUUGAGUGCGGUAGGGGAGACUGGAAUUCCUGGUGUAGCGGUGAAAUGCGCAGAUAUCAGGAGGAACACCGGUGGCGAAGGCGGGUCUCUGGGCCGAUACUGACGCUGAGGAGCGAAAGCGUGGGGAGCGAACAGG